CGCCCACAUUCUGAUUUGGGUCGACGCCCAUGCCAACCUGCCUACCCGGGCAAGGUGGAUCGCGAGAGCGGAUGUGGUUCCCUGGUCGUUGGGGAACAACCAAGCGGGCACUG
rnacentral:ncRNA from 2 species